AAAAACUAAGGUGGUAUAUGAUGGAUCCGCGUCUGAUUAGCCAGUUGGUGAGGUAACGGCUCACCAAAGCGACGAUCAGUAGCCGGCCUGAGAGGGCGGACGGCCACAUUGGGACUGAGACACGGCCCAGACUCCUGCGGGAGGCAGCAGUGGGGGAUAUUGCACAAUGGGGGAAACCCUGAUGCAGCGACGCCGCGUGAGUGAAGAAGUAAUUCGUUACGUAAAGCUCUAUCAGCAGGGAAGAAAAUGACGGUACCUGACUAAGAAGCCCCGGCUAACUACGUGCCAGCAGCCGCGGUAAUACGUAGGGGGCAAGCGUUAUCCGGAAUUACUGGGUGUAAAGGGAGCGCAGACGGCAGUGCAAGUCUGGAGUGAAAGCCCGUGGCUUAACUACGGGACUGCUCUGGAAACUGUGCAGCUAGAGUGCAGGAGAGGCAGGCGGAAUUCCUAGUGUAGCGGUGAAAUGCGUAGAUAUUAGGAGGAACACCGGUGGCGAAGGCGGCCUGCUGGACUGUAACUGACGUUGAGGCUCGAAAGCGUGGGGAGCAAACAGGAUUAGAUACCCUGGUAGUCCACGCCGUAAACGAUGAUUACUAGGUGUCGGGGGACGAUAGUGCUCCG
rnacentral:rRNA from 1 species